ACCGCACGAGCUCUAUGGAGAAAAGCAGGGGAUCGUAAGACCUUGCGCUUUUGGAGCGGCCGAUGUCUGAUUAGCUAGUUGGUGGGGUAAUGGCCUACCAAAGCUUCGAUCAGUAGCUGGUCUGAGAGGACGGCCAGCCACACUGGGACUGAGACACGGCCCAGACUCCUACGGGAGGCAGCAGUGGGGAAUUUUGGACAAUGGGCGCAAGCCUGAUCCAGCCAUGCCGCGUGAGUGAAGAAGGCCUUCGGGUUGUAAAGCUCUUUCAGCCGGGAAGAAAAGGCUGCGACUAAUAAUCGCAGUUCAUGACGGUACCGGAAGAAGAAGCACCGGCUAACUACGUGCCAGCAGCCGCGGUAAUACGUAGGGUGCGAGCGUUAAUCGGAAUUACUGGGCGUAAAGGGUGCGCAGGCGGUUUUGUAAGUCAGAUGUGA
rnacentral:rRNA from 1 species